UCACGUGAUCGACAUUGUCUUAUUUUUUUCUCAUCGAGCGUUCGGUUGAGCGAUACGAUUAUUUGCGAUAUUUUCACGCGUAAAAGUGUUUUGUUUCGAUGAGUUUCUGUCUGUUCUUUUAAGUAUUUGAUAUUCAUGUAGAUGCCGGGAUUGAAAUAAGAGCAGGAAAUCUUUUGAGGAAGUGGAGUGACAGCCCCGCUGUUAAUCAAGAUGGCAGGUCUGUCUUUGUAUUUUGAAGAUGGUCAUGAUGAUUUGGAUGACUUUGGAUUCGAUGACUAUGGUUCAGAGUGUGAUGGGAUUCGGAUAACAGCAUUCCUGGAUGCAGGCCAGGAUAAUCUCACCCCUCUGGGCCGGCUGGAGAAAUAUGCUUUCAGUGAAAACGUCUUCAACAGGUGAGAUGUAAAGUGUGUGGUCUGCAGUGUAAAACAAGUAACUAUG